rnacentral:rRNA from 1 species
AUUGAACGCUGGCGGCAGGCCUAACACAUGCAAGUCGAACGGUAACAGGAAGAAGCUUGCUUCUUUGCUGACGAGUGGCGGACGGGUGAGUAAUGUCUGGGAAACUGCCUGAUGGAGGGGGAUAACUACUGGAAACGGUAGCUAAUACCGCAUAACGUCGCAAGACCAAAGAGGGGGACCUUCGGGCCUCUUGCCAUCGGAUGUUCCCAGAUGGGAUUAGCUAGUAGGUGGGGUAACGGCUCACCUAGGCAACGAUCCCUAGCUGGUCUGAGAGGAUGACCAGCCACACUGGAACUGAGACACGGUCCAGACUCCUACGGGAGGCAGCAGUGGGGAAUAUUGCACAAUGGGCGCAAGCCUGAUGCAGCCAUGCCGCGUGUAUGAAGAAGGCCUUCGGGUUGUAAAGUACUUUCAGCGGGGAGGAAGGGAGUAAAGUUAAUACCUUUGCUCAUUGACGUUACCCGCAGAAGAAGCACCGGCUAACUCCGUG